UCGUUUUUGUUUGCUUUUAUGUGUGCGUAGGCGUUUCCUGUCGUUGCUCGUCUGCUCUCCCCCGCUGAGUGGUCCUCCGAAACGGCACCAACUGAACAGAAAAUGUUCUUCGCACCACCGGCAAAGGUGCCACGGACACAGCGGCUAACGAUGACGAGCAGCUCAGCGGCGCCGUACGUCUACAAGCGCGCCACCGAGGCGGACAGCGGACUCGCCGAGGCGUCGCCGACCUCUCUCGAUGGCGCAGUGCUCUUCGAUGCCGCGAGCGGAUGCACGGUGCCGGCUUCCAGCUUUCUCUCCGGUGCCGGCACGCACAUGUGCUGGCUGGUCGACGAAAACACGAAGCUGCUGCGCCUCUGGAACGUGAGCCGGCCAGGGUGGCAGACGGCGGCGCCACGGCUUGCAGAGAUACCGUACUUUGCAGCCGCCAAGGAGGGACUGCCGCUGUUUGUGAGUGAGAUGGGUGGCGAGGAGGAGUCGCUUGCGUUUUGCAGCGAGCGCGGUGCCAUCUCUAGUCUCGACCACAGCAUCGAGGUGCAAAUGCUCGACGACGACACUGGCAUGACAGCGUCGAGUUUUGUCUGCACGCGGCGCUGGGUUAAUGCAGAAGCGGUGAUUGUGACGGUGCUGGGGACGACGGCUGGGGUGAUUGUCGUGGAUCUCAAGUACGACGGCGCGCACACGACAAUGAAGUUCGAUCGGCGUGACCCGGCGUCCUUUCGAUGGGCACGCGGAGGGCACAACAACCUGCCUCAACGCAGCAGUGGCGGCGGCGACACGGAGACGAGCGCGGACACCCUGUUCACUGAUUGUGCAGAGGAAGAGAGUCAGCAGCUGGUGUCGAACGAGUACUCGGACACAGGGCGCCCUAUUGCUUCUCCAAACACUUCCAGCUGGCUGUGGCACUCACUCAAGUGCUUGGUCGCCGGCGGAAACAACCCGAGCGGCGAUCGAGAGGAUGACGGGACAGGCACUGGCAGUGCCGCAAGUGCGUCGCCUGUGUGGCCACUUUCGGCGGUCGGCAACGGGCAGCUCGGUGACAGCCCACUUGCCUUUACACACGUGCAGCUGCGCUGCCACUACCCUGAGCAGGUAUUGGCGAUCAGCGCUUCAGGUGAGGUCUUCCUGCUCGCUUUCAGUCCGGUGCCACCGGCGGUGGAAGGGGCAGGACGGCGGCCAUGCAUUUCUAUUAAGUGGGCCACCUCGCUCCCAGCGUCGCUGGGGCGCAGAGGCCAGGUCGUUUCCUGCACGGAAAGCCAGCACAAGGUGUGCGUUCUCUACUACGUUCGCAGCAGCUCGGCGCAGCCGCUCCCAGCGCUGUGGCUCGUGACGCUGGAUGCCUCUCUCGGAAAGGUCGUGAAUUAUGUCGUGCUGAACGCCGUCGCGGACGUAGUCAGCGCCGCCGCGCACCUGCCGCGCCACCACAUCAAGCUGUUCUCUUGUGACAACCACCGCGAGGUCCUCAUUAGCGUCGGCGCGUACGUGCUGCGCGUGAACAAUCAAGUCGGGGUGCGGCAGCCGUGCUCUAGCGAGGACACCGUCUGCUUCGGCCACCUUGAGCAGCCCGUGGCGUCGCUGUUGCGGGAUGACGGGAGCCUCGUCACCCUCGACGCUCGCGGCCCACACCUAACCGUGAGAGACGUCCUGGCGGGCCGCAUGACGCACGCUGCCAGUGGCGACGGUCCCAGACGUGUGCACGACGGCGACAACUCCGGCGAGGCAGAGUUGAGGAGCAUCCUUGAUGCAGUCCGCACCGACUCCAAGCUUUCUUUGGACAGUGCGGUGCUUUACGCAAGUGAGUCGCUCUCGUCCUCGACGAACUUGCAGCACCAGUGGCGCCACGGCACCGGCAACUGGGCCCGUCGAAACCUGAACACUGAGGAUGAGAACAUUGUACUGCGAGUCACACGCCAGCUCACGUUCCAGCAGCAGGCGCACCGCUCCUUCGUUAUGGCCGUCCUGCGCCACGAGCAGGUGCGCAUGCAGCUUUCGCAUGCGACCAUGGCGCAGUUGCUGUCGGUGCAAGAGGCGCUCAUGUCCUUGUGUGCGCUGCGCAGCAUGCAGAAUGUGGGGCUGAAGGUGGAGCACUCUUUCGACUCCAGCGAAGAUUGCGUGACACAGCGGGUUCUGCCUCCCUUCAGCGCCAUGCUCGAGACGGCGCUGAGCAGCGGCAGUGCCUACCUGCUGCAGCGCCGUCCCUCUCGUCAUUACAACACCCAGGACGUCGUUAACGACGCGUCGAGCGCGCCGGCGGCUCCGCGGCUGGUGAAGAGCACAGAGCAGAUGGCGCGUUGCCAGCAGAUCAUGCGGCGCGCCAUUGUGGCAGUGGCGGAGGCCAUCCGGGCAGAGCAGAAGGCGGCAGCGAGUGGUGUCUCCGCCCGUCUGCAAGGCAGCGUGGAGGGGUUGACAGCCUCUGAGAUUUGCUUUGCGAACCCGUUGAACCUCGUGCGACUGCUUCACUUCCUUGUCGUGUACAUGACCGAGGUGCGGCAGACUGUCUCGCUGCCACUGGAAGAAAAGUUUGCCGAGUGCUACGCGGCGGGUUGCAUCUACGUGGUCGUUGCGCAGACCAUCGUUGAAUCGCGUGAGGACGUGCGGAAGGUGUGCGACAUUUCUAAGGGUGUGCUGGCGUGCACGUGGACCGCCUCCAGCGAUCCCGUGAGCGGUGUUGCGCUGUGCUUCUCACAGGCAUGUGUGCAGCUGUCGAACAUUCUGGCGGACGUCUGCGAUGUAGCGUCCAGUAACCUUAACGACAGCAGUGACGGCCCCGCCAACGCCGGCGACGGCGCAGCGCGCGCGGCAAGCGGAGUCGCGUUUGCCUCGCUCACGCUGCACCACAAGUGUGACAUGUUGGACGUUAUCGCAUACCUGCUGUACUUUUCGCUGGCUAACAGCCUUCACCACGACAACCGUUUUGUCGCCUCAGCCGUGACGAACACCCUCCUCCGCGAGCCGUUCCUCACUGGGCCGGUCGGCUACCCGUACGGUGCCCCCACCGCGUCUCGCGGCUGCGCGGAAAUUGGCGGCGCGUUCUGGGCGUGUGCGAGACGCUGGCGCUGCGCUUCGACGCAAUGCCGAUCCUCAUGAUUUUUGCGCUUUCCACGCCGAUCGGCGACCCCGUGAGUUGCCCGGAGCAGUACGAGCGACUGCAGUGCUACUGUCAGCAGAACACCCUUGCCCUCGACGCUGCGCUUCAAACGCUCUGGGAGCAGCGCCGUGAGUGGGAGCUGCUGAGUCUGCCUGCCGUGCUGCCUGGCUGUCCUGACGCACGCACUCGGCGGAACAGCUUCCUGGAAGCGCAAGCGCCGCACUUGCUGUGGCUCGCCGACCCAGGCCGCUAUGACGCCCUAACCGCCGAGGGACAGGCCAGCCCCCCCUACAUCCCGUACGGGGAGGACCAGCUCCAACACCGCAGCCGGUGCAAUGCGAUGGCGCGCCUGGCGUGGGUGGCGACCGGGGCGGCACCGUCGAGCCGCUUCAACGAUGUGGAGCUAUCGGAGUCGAUUGUGGCGGCCCAGCAGGAGUUCCUCGCACCUGACUACAAUAACGUCACGCUCGGCCCACAAGCGGCGGUGCAGCGACUGUUGGAGAUAGAAGACUGUGUGGCGGCGUGGGUGCAGGCGGCCGUGAUUGCCAGCCACACGAUGCAGCCAACCAGCGAGGACUUGCUGGUGCAGGUGCUGCGGCGCUGCCGUGCGAAGGAUGGUGGGUCACGCCUAAAGAACAUCUUCGCAAACAGCGUUAGCGAGUUAGAGACGGACGCAGGCUUGCGCCAGACAGCGCUGGGGCAGGUGAUGGUCGCAUGCGCCAAGCUUCAGGACGCCGAGACGCUGCGCCGCGUGGGUGAGACGCUGCUGACUGCUGAAGAGCUCACGCUACUCUCCUCGUGGCUGGCGUACCUUUGGACGACAAGUCACGAAAGGGCGUAGCGCGGACUUCACGACGAACGAGAACCCAUUCAUGCGAAGGGCUUAGCCAGUCCAAAGAAAAUGAACAUGAAAGCAGACGUGUGUGCGCGCUAAUGGCGGAGCGCCCGCACCAUCUGUUUCCUCCGCCAGCGUUGUUUGCGUGUGUUCGCGCAACGGUGUCAACGCCCGCAACGCGGUCAACACGGAAAAUGUGGACGAUGCAGGUGUCGAUGAUGCCCAGAGGCGCGCCAUUGUUUUGUGUUUAAGAGAG
rnacentral:misc_RNA from 1 species